ensembl:lncRNA
CCAAUUCGGAUGAACAAGACUGUCCACCAUCAGAAAUAGUUCAGCUGUUAAUAAUUCAGGGGUUGGCAGAAUGGAGACCUAAGAAAACAUUUCCUCCCUCUGCUUUGCCACAACCUUGCUUUCAGAGUGGUGUGAGUUUCUUUCUAAUGUGUAGCUCAAAUCUUUCUUUGCUGCUGUCUUUACCCUGUUAUCAGUUAACUUUGCACCUCUCCCAUGUUAUGAUCAGCCCUUCCUGAUGGGACACAGCAUCCACAUGUAACAUCAAAAACCCAUGGACAGCAUUGCUGAUGUCUGUUUUUCCCUUUGGCUUGCUGUCUUUUACCUAACUAUAAAAGGAAAACACAUGGGAGUUUUUAAGAGCAGGUUGUGUUUGCUGCUACCUGCCUCAUGUCACCUAUCCGGGAGCUUUCCAGCAGUCUGUUGUUCCACUUACUCUGGUGUGGGAAAGGCACCUUCUGCUGACUCAUCGGUGGAAGAUAAAUGAACUCUUGAUUCCAGCAGUUCACUCUGAUCCUGUUCUUCACGCAGUGGCUUUGCCUGGAUGUCCCUAUAGAGCACCUCCACCUGUGAGACUGUGCCCAGACAGCAGACCCAAAUGCACAGGCCCUGGCAGUCUGCUUUCUGGCCCUGAAGCAAGCCAGAUACCUCCCUGUAAUUUCACAGUUAAGUGGAAGUUGAUCUGGUUGGAAGAAAUCAGCAAACCAAAAAGGGUUACCAAGCCCAAAGAAUGGAAAACAGAAAUAAAACAAACAAACAAACAAAAAAAUCCAAACGGAACCAACACAGGCUACAGAAAUGUUACAGGUAGAGGCGAUUUUUGUCAGAGGAUCUUAUCCAUUAAAAUGUCGAUGGUGUUGCAGACAUCCGUCCAGGAGCCUUUAGCAGCAAUCCCGUUGCCAACGAGAGACAUUCUUACCUUGGAGAGAAUUUCAGGCAGCCACGACCAUCCCCGCCACCAGCUGUGGCUGAGAAUGGAUGUUUAGUAACUCAUCUCCAUGCCUGUUUGAAAAACAGCAUGGGCUGUGGCGGGGCCAGCGGGUUUGACUCUUCAUCUUGCGGAAUCAGACUCCCACUGGCAGCAUAUCUGAUAGAUUGCCAACAGAAGUGGAAUCAGCCCACUGAACGAUGCUCUCUGCAUCUCAUUUGAAUUCCAAAAGGCCUGCUUUUUCCCAUUAAUGUCAGUCGGGAAUAUCAGGGUGGCUCUGAAGUGUAGGAUGAUUACAAAGAAUAGUCACAAAAUGUCUUUCAGUCAAAAGGACCAUUACAAACAAAAUAGUCGGGAGUUACAGUCUAGCCUGCACCACCAUGUUCUUUAAAUUCCCAAUGAAGCUGUAGAAGCAGAUGGGGAUUCUCAACUCUCAUUUACUACGUCUGAGCCACAGUUCUACUGAAAAUUAAUAGUUUCAAAAUUGCCAGUAGCUUUGUCCUGUUAUAUAAAGUAUUUAACGUGCACAGGGUUUGCUCUUUGGGGAACAGACUUACCAGAUUCAGGAAAUAAAAGAUAAAGGAGCCACAUAUUGGAAAUUAAGAAUGUAUUAUUAAUAAUAUUAAUAUAUUAAUAUAUUAUAUAAUCAUUAAGUUUUGAAAAGACCUCUAAGAUCAUCCAGACCAACAACCAACCCAUCCCCACUCUGCCCACUGACCACGAACCUCAGUGCCACAUCUCCAUGUUCCUUGAACACCUCCAGGGACAGUGACUCCAUCACCUCCCUGGGCAGCCUGUGCCAGUGCCUCACCACUCUUUCUGAGAAUACAUUUUUCCUAAUAUCCACCCUAAAAGAAGACUUAAAUUCAAAUGCUUAAAUCAUACCGUAGUAAACCAGAAAUAAAUAACAUUCAUAGAAUCGCUAAGGUUGGAAAAGACCCACAGGAUCACCCAGUCCAACCAUUCGCCCAUCACCAAUGGUUCUUGCUAAACCAUGUCCCUCAACACAACAUCCAAACGCUCUUUGAACACCAAUUCCUGGUGGAGUUGAGCUCCUAAAAUUAUCUUUUAUGGGCCUAUCUGACUUGGAAAGAAAAAUCUACAGCAGAGGUAGGAACAGAUUCCUCUUUGAUUUCAGUCCAAGGUCUGAAGUGUUUGGCAGCACAAGCCUACAGAGCAAGAGGUAUCUGAUACUUGUUUGUAUCAAAUUCUUUCCUUCAGAGCCCACAGUACAUGUUUAAGCAUUAGCCCUUGGUGUUCCCACCUGAUACUAGAGCAGGACAAAGCAGGGGCUUUAACUGUGGCAUGGAAGCAGGGGGGAUGUCCAUGAGCCAGCCCAGAUGGACCGUCUGCUCCAAAGACAUGGCGAGGGGUCAAGCCAG